AUGGAAAUUCCUCUGAGUGCAAAAGGAAGGAAGGAAGGAAGGAAGGAAGGAAGGAAGGAAGGAAGGAAGGAAGGAAGAGAGAGAAGGAGGGAGAGAGGGGGAAGGAGAAAGAGGGAGGGAGGAAGAGGGAGGGAGAGAGAAAGCAACAAAGGAAGGAACAAAGGAAGGAAAGAAGGAAGGAAGGAAGUUAAGGAAGGAACUGGAAUUGCAUAGUUUCUUUUCUCCUCAGUUUCUUUUACCUCAUUCUUAAUCUAUUGUUUUUGGUGUAAUCACUAGCUUUGAACAUAAACAACUAUAGCAUUUUUCUUUAUUUGCUUAUAAAAAUCUGUCAAUCUGACCUCAGCCACUUCUAGCUGUGUGACCCUGGGCAAGUCACUUGACCCCCAUUGCCUAGCCCUUACCACUCUUCUGCCUUGGAGCCAAUACACAGUAUUGACUCCAAGACAGAAGGUAAGGGUUUAAAAAAAAAUCUGUUAAUACAAAUGUUCAGAAUCUCUGAUCAAACUACAGAUUCCUUGCUUUUGUACACCUUGCAAUCAUAUUAAAGCCCAUGAACUUGGUGGGGGGGGGGGGCGGGGACAAAAAUAAAACUGGGCCCCUGCCCA
rnacentral:lncRNA from 1 species